rnacentral:rRNA from 1 species
CGUAGGGAACCUGCCCAUGCGGCCGGGACAACUUCCGGAAACGGAUGCUGAUACCGGAUAAGGAAAGCGAAGGCAUCUUUGCUUUGUUAAAGGAGCUGCAAGGCUCCGCGCAUGGAUGGACCUGCGGUGCAUUAGCUGAUUGGUGAGGUAAAGGCUCACCAAGGCGACGAUGCAUAGCCGGCCUGAGAGGGCGAACGGCCACGCUGGGACUGAGACACGGCCCAGACUCCUACGGGAGGCAGCAG